rnacentral:rRNA from 1 species
CCUACGGGGGGCAGCAGUGAGGAAUAUUGGUCAAUGGACGAGAGUCUGAACCAGCCAAGCCGCGUGAAGGAUGACUGCUCUACGGGUUGUAAACUUCUUUUAUAUGGGAAUAAAACGUUCCACGUGUGGGAUUUUGUAUGUACAAUAUGAAUAAGGAUCGGCUAACUCCGUGCCAGCAGCCGCGGUAAUACGGAGGAUCCGAGCGUUAUCCGGAUUUAUUGGGUUUAAAGGGAGCGUAGGUGGAUUGUUAAGUCAGUUGUGAAAGUUUGCGGCUCAACCGUAAAAUUGCAGUUGAAACUGGCAGUCUUGAGUACAGUAGAGGUGAGCGGAAUUCGUGGUGUAGCGGUGAAAUGCUUAGAUAUCACGAAGAACUCCGAUUGCGAAGGCAGUUCACUGGACUGCAACUGACACUGAGGCUCGAAAGUGUGGGUAUCAAACAGGAUUAGAUACCCUUGUAGUC